UACAGAGGUCUCAAGCGUUGUUCGGAUUCAUUGGGCGUAAAGGGUGCGUAGGCGGCGCGGUAAGUCGGAUGUGAAAUCUCGGAGCUUAACUCCGAAACUGCAUUCGAUACUGCCGUGCUUGAGGACUGGAGAGGAGACUGGAAUUUACGGUGUAGCGGUGAAAUGCGUAGAUAUCGUAAGGAAGACCAGUGGCGAAGGCGGGUCUCUGGACAGUUCCUGACACUGAGGCACGAAGGCCAGGGGAGCAAACGGG
rnacentral:rRNA from 1 species